rnacentral:rRNA from 1 species
CAGAACGAACGCUGGCGGCAGGCCUAACACAUGCAAGUCGAACGGAUYCUUCGGGAUUAGUGGCAGACGGGUGAGUAACGCGUGGGAAGCUACCUUGUGGUAGGGAACAACAGUUGGAAACGACUGCUAAUACCCUAUGAGCCCUAUGGGGGAAAGAUUUAUCGCCAUGAGAUGUGCCCGCGUUAGAUUAGCUAGUUGGUAAGGUAAUGGCUUACCAAGGCGACGAUCUAUAGCUGGUCUGAGAGGAUGAUCAGCCACACUGGGACUGAGACACGGCCCAGACUCCUACGGGAGGCAGCAGUGGGGAAUAUUGGACAAUGGGGGCAACCCUGAUCCAGCCAUGCCGCGUGAGUGAUGACGGCCUUAGGGUUGUAAAGCUCUUUCAGCAGUGAAGAUAAUGACAUUAACUGCAGAAGAAGCCCCGGCUAACUUCGUGCCAGCAGCCGCGGUAAUACGAAGGGGGCUAGCGUUGUUCGGAAUCACUGGGCGUAAAGCGUACGUAGGCGGACUGAUCAGUCAGGGGUGAAAUCCCGGGGCUCAACCCCGGAACUGCCUUUGAUACUGUCAGUCUUGAGAUCGAGAGAGGUGAGUGGAACUCCGAGUGUAGAGGUGAAAUUCGUAGAUAUUCGGAAGAACACCAGUGGCGAAGGCGGCUCACUGGCUCGAUAMCUGAC